UACGGGGGGGGCAAGCGUUGUUCGGAAUUACUGGGCGUAAAGGGCUCGUAGGCGGCCAACUAAGUCAAACGUGAAAUCCCCCGGCUUAACCAGGGAACUGCGUCUGAUACUGGAUGGCUUGAGUUUGGGAGAGGGAUGCGGAAUUCCAGGUGUAGCGGUGAAAUGCGUAGAUAUCUGGAGGAACACCGGUGGCGAAGGCGACAUCCUGGACCAACACUGACGCUGAGUGAGCGAAAGCCAGGGGAGCAAACGGG
rnacentral:rRNA from 1 species